CCUGGUAGCGGGGGAGUAACUAUUGGAAACGAUAGCUAAUACCGCAUAAUAUUGAUUAUUGCAUGAUAAUUGAUUGAAAGAUGCAACUGCAUCACUACCAGAUGGACCUGCGUUGUAUUAGCUAGUAGGUGAGGUAACGGCUCACCUAGGCGACGAUACAUAGCCGACCUGAGAGGGUGAUCGGCCACACUGGGACUGAGACACGGCCCAG
rnacentral:rRNA from 1 species